CACGUAGAAGGCUAGUGUUAUUCAUCUUUAUUAGGUUAAAGGGUUAAGCUUAGACGGGAAAGUACAAAGCCCAUAAAUAGGGGACUAAUUUUUCUAGAGUUUUAUGAGAGAAGGGGGCGAAUUUCCGGAGGAAAGUUGAUAUUUUGUGAUACUGGAAGGACGGGUAACGGCGAAGGCAACCUUUUAUGUAAAAACUGACGUUGAGGGACGAAGCCUUGGGUAACGAGAAGG
rnacentral:rRNA from 1 species